GAGGAAUAUUGGUCAAUGGACGAGAGUCUGAACCAGCCAAGUAGCGUGAAGGAUGACUGCCCUAUGGGUUGUAAACUUCUUUUAUACGGGAAUAAAGUGAGGCACGUGUGCCUUUUUGUAUGUACCGUAUGAAUAAGGAUCGGCUAACUCCGUGCCAGCAGCCGCGGUAAUACGGAGGAUCCGAGCGUUAUCCGGAUUUAUUGGGUUUAAAGGGAGCGUAGGCGGACGCUUAAGUCAGUUGUGAAAGUUUGCGGCUCAACCGUAAAAUUGCAGUUGAUACUGGGUGUCUUGAGUACAGUAGAGGCAGGCGGAAUUCGUGGUGUAGCGGUGAAAUGCUUAGAUAUCACGAAGAACUCCGAUUGCGAAGGCAGCUUGCUGGACUGUAACUGACGCUGAUGCUCGAAAGUGUGGGUAUCAAACAGGAUUAGAUACCCUGGUAGUCCACACAGUAAACGAUGAAUACUCGCUGUUUGCGAUAUACAGUAAGCGGCCAAGCGAAAGCGUUAAGUAUUCCACCUGGGGAGUACGCCGGCAACGGUGAAACUCAAAGGAAUUGACGGGGGCCCGCACAAGCGGAGGAACAUGUGGUUUAAUUCGAUGAUACGCGAGGAACCUUACCCGGGCUUGAAUUGCAACUGAAUGAUGUGGAGACAUGUCAGCCGCAAGGCAGUUGUGAAGGUGCUGCAUGGUUGUCGUCAGCUCAUGCCGUGAGGUGUCGGCUUAAGUGCCAUAACGAGCGCAACCCUUAUCGAUAGUUACCAUCAGGUUAUGCUGGGGACUCUGUCGAGACUGCCGUCGUAAGAUGUGAGGAAGGUGGGGAUGACGUCAAAUCAGCACGGCCCUUACGUCCGGGGCUACACACGUGUUACAAUGGGGGGUACAGAAGGCAGCUACACGGCGACGUGAUGCUAAUCCCGAAAGCCUCUCUCAGUUCGGAUUGGAGUCUGCAACCCGACUCCAUGAAGCUGGAUUCGCUAGUAAUCGCGCAUCAGCCACGGCGCGGUGAAUACGUUCCCG
rnacentral:rRNA from 1 species